UACGGGAGUUGCAGCGAUGGGCAAAGAUUGUAACUACCUAUUGGAUACCACGAAAUUGGGGUAAAAAUUACAAAUGUAAAUGAGUCCAAAUAGUCAGUACCUGAUUCCGUUUCCUUCCUUCUGUUUGGUGCCUAAUGAAGACAACCCUACUUGAUCACAAUGGCAUCAUGGUCUCAAUAUCUUGAGCAACAUGGCCACCAAUGGCGACUUUCCUAAAAUGUGGGACAAAUUCGCUCCGAGGAAAGAGCGAGAAUCCUUGAGGGAGGUCAUCUCAAAGGUUAACCUCAAAGAAAGGAAUAUCUGAAUAAUCCCCAAUUUUACGAUAAAUUUGUAUCUAAAUAUUUGCACAUUUCCCAACUUGACUAUUAUCCCCUCCAGUCCCCAAACUCCAAUAUUUUCGCUCAUUCUAAGAAAUUUGACACCCUCCUCCAAACCCCGAUGUAAAUGCAUCUUUAAACUGCAUUGACUCCUUGUCCAAGUCCUGAAUC